CUCAGAACGAACGCUGGCGGCGUGGAUAAGACAUGCAAGUCGAACGAGAGAAUUGCUAGCUUGCUAAUAAUUCUCUAGUGGCGCACGGGUGAGUAACACGUGAGUAACCUGCCCCCGAGAGCGGGAUAGCCCUGGGAAACUGGGAUUAAUACCGCAUAGUAUCGAAAGAUUAAAGCAGCAAUGCGCUUGGGGAUGGGCUCGCGGCCUAUUAGUUAGUUGGUGAGGUAACGGCUCACCAAGGCGAUGACGGGUAGCCGGUCUGAGAGGAUGUCCGGCCACACUGGAACUGAGACACGGUCCAGACACCUACGGGUGGCAGCAGUCGAGAAUCAUUCACAAUGGGGGAAACCCUGAUGGUGCGACGCCGCGUGGGGGAAUGAAGGUCUUCGGAUUGUAAACCCCUGUCAUGUGGGAGCAAAUUAAAAAGAUAGUACCACAAGAGGAAGAGACGGCUAACUCUGUGCCAGCAGCCGCGGUAAUACAGAGGUCUCAAGCGUUGUUCGGAAUCACUGGGCGUAAAGCGUGCGUAGGCUGUUUCGUAAGUCGUGUGUGAAAGGCGCGGGCUCAACCCGCGGACGGCACAUGAUACUGCGAGACUAGAGUAAUGGAGGGGGAACCGGAAUUCUCGGUGUAGCAGUGAAAUGCGUAGAUAUCGAGAGGAACACUCGUGGCGAAGGCGGGUUCCUGGACAUUAACUGACGCUGAGGCACGAAGGCCAGGGGAGCGAAAGGGAUUAGAUACCCCUGUAGUCCUGGCAGUAAACGGUGCACGCUUGGUGUGCGGGGAAUCGACCCCCUGCGUGCCGGAGCUAACGCGUUAAGCGUGCCGCCUGGGGAGUACGGUCGCAAGAUUAAAACUCAAAGAAAUUGACGGGGACCCGCACAAGCGGUGGAGUAUGUGGCUUAAUUCGAUGCAACGCGAAGAACCUUACCUGGGCUUGACAUGUAAUGAACAACAUGUGAAAGCAUGCGACUCUUCGGAGGCGUUACACAGGUGCUGCAUGGCCGUCGUCAGCUCGUGUCGUGAGAUGUUUGGUUAAGUCCAGCAACGAGCGCAACCCCUGUUGCCAGUUACCAGCACGUGAAGGUGGGGACUCUGGCGAGACUGCCCAGAUCAACUGGGAGGAAGGUGGGGACGACGUCAGGUCAGUAUGGCCCUUAUGCCCAGGGCUGCACACGUACUACAAUGCCCAGUACAGAGGGGGCCGAAGCCGCGAGGCGGAGGAAAUCCUAAAAACUGGGCCCAGUUCGGACUGUAGGCUGCAACCCGCCUACACGAAGCCGGAAUCGCUAGUAAUGGCGCAUCAGCUACGGCGCCGUGAAUACGUUCCCGGGUCUUGUACACACCGCCCGUCACAUCAUGGAAGCCGGUCGCACCCGAAGUAUCUGAAGCCAACCGCAAGGAGGC
rnacentral:rRNA from 1 species